UACGUAGGGGGCUAGCGUUGUCCGGAAUCAUUGGGCGUAAAGCGCGUGUAGGCGGUCCGGUAAGUCCGCUGUGAAAGUCGGGGGCUCAACCCUCGGAUGCCGGUGGAUACUGUCGGGCUUGAGUACGGAAGAGGCGGGUGGAAUUCCUGGUGUAGCGGUGAAAUGCGCAGAUAUCAGGAGGAACACCAAUUGCGAAGGCAGCUCGCUGGGACGUUACUGACGCUGAGACGCGAAAGCGUGGGGAGCAAACAGG
rnacentral:rRNA from 1 species